AGAAGAUAGAUGGAGACAGACCUCGCAGAUCUAUCCUGCUGCAGCCUUUCUUGUAGAUCUGUUGAUGGAGAUCUCACCCGUGCCUCAAACGACCUCAGAUCAACUCCAGAUCUGAGAGGGACUUAUACCAACCUCUUCUCAAGAGAUUCCAGGUCCUAGACCUAGUGUUUGGGUGCCUGCAAGAGAGGGGAGAGUAGAACUGGUAGGCGGCUGCAAGGGGGAAGGGGCUAGCGCCUCCCUUCCUUUCUUUCCUUUUAUGGACUGGCGGCAAGAAACCCUAGGAUUUUUUGCUCCUGGUGCAUGGAAGAUUGCUGGAGAGAGAGGGAGAAGAGAGAGAGAGACAUGGGAGAAAGAGUUAUCUAUUUUCUUGGCUUAAUCCAACCUAUACACAAUACAUGUAUAUAUAAACAUAGGGUCAAGUGACCCAAACCCAAAACUCCCUUGACCAACUCUAUGGGAGAUUAGGU
rnacentral:lncRNA from 1 species